GGAGAGAUGGCCGAGUGGUCGAUGGCAACGCACUCGAAAUGCGUCAGACGGGUCAAACUGUCUCGGGAGUUCGAAUCUCCCUCUCUCCGCCA
rnacentral:tRNA from 1 species